rnacentral:rRNA from 1 species
AUUGAACGCUGGCGGCAUGCCUUACACAUGCAAGUCGAACGGCAGCACGGGUGCUUGCACCUGGUGGCGAGUGGCGAACGAGUGAGUAAUACAUCGGAACAUGUCCUGUAGUGGGGGAUAGCCCGGCGAAAGCCGGAUUAAUACCGCAUACGAUCCACGGAUGAAAGCGGGGGACCUUCGGGCCUCGCGCUAUAGGGUUGGCCGAUGGCUGAUUAGCUAGUUGGUGGGGUAAAGGCCUACCAAGGCGACGAUCAGUAGCUGGUCUGAGAGGACGACCAGCCACACUGGGACUGAGACACGGCCCAGACUCCUACGGGAGGCAGCAGUGGGGAAUUUUGGACAAUGGGCGAAAGCCUGAUCCAGCAAUGCCGCGUGUGUGAAGAAGGCCUUCGGGUUGUAAAGCACUUUUGUCCGGAAAGAAAUCCUUGACUCUAAUACAGUCGGGGGAUGACGGUACCGGAAGAAUAAGCACCGGCUAACUACGUG